AGGCAUUAGAAGAUUCAGGAAGUGGCUUAUUUAGUGAUAUUUUAGCAAAUAUAAAUGUGUGAGGAACGUAGCAGAGCGGUCCAGUGAAUACCUGAGCUGUGGAGGAAGCUGCUGGUGGACUUUGAGACGACUCACUCUGGCAGAUAAUCUGCUGAGAAGAUGGAUGGCUGCCAUGCCGCCGUCACCAGGCAUUCAGGAGCAGUGGAGCCGCCUGGUUUCAGAGAGAAGCUGAGAACCAAACCACCCGUUUCAAACAUUCACCCUGAGGGCUCAUUUUCUUCUGUUGUGUUCAAGAGCUGAUGUGGAGCAAAGAGGGACCGGCGUGGGCGAGCGAGGGGCGAGCGCUAAAAAUCCCAUAGCAACAAGCAGAUAAUACACAGAUACCAGUAAACAACGUCGAUGGAAGGUAAACCGGAA